rnacentral:rRNA from 1 species
UACGUAGGGUCCGAGCGUUGUCCGGAAUUACUGGGCGUAAAGAGCUCGUAGGUGGUUUGUCGCGUUGUUCGUGAAAAACUCACAGCUUAACUGUGGGCGUGCGGGGCGAUACGGGGCAGACUUGAGUUCGGUAGGGGGAGACUGGAAUUCCUGGUGUAGCGGUGAAAAUGCGCAGAUAUCAGGAGGAACACCGGUGGCGAAGGCGGGUCUCUGGGCCGAUACUGACGUGAGGAGCGAAAAGCGUGGGGGAGCGA